UUCUGGGCGUGUUCCAGUUGACAUGCACUGUCGGUGGACAUGUGAAACUCCAGGGAACCUGACGAGCUCUGUACCUUCACACUCUGAGUGGGCGGAGCUUAGCACCGGCGAUCGUCCGUUCUCCAUCUUGACUUCCUCCCGUAAGGCUGGGGAUGAGCCAUCUGCACACGCACUCCUUUCUUGAUGAGCUCCUCUCUGCUCUGACGAGUGGACAUUUUCCUCUCCAGGACUGACAGACAACAGAGAGACAGACAGAGGACCUGGUCAGUGAGAGCGUGGGUUUGAACAAACGCCCCAGUGUGGCAAACUUGCUCCGCCGGCGGAUGGGAGGCGUGUGCGUGCCGGGAACCAGCGAAUCAGAGCGCAUCGCAGCCAGCCUCCCCACCUCCUCAGCUGCAAAACAGAAUGAGUCAACGUUAAGCUGCAGGUCUGUAUCAGUGCUCCCUCUGUUUGACAGAGAGAGCAUGGUGGUGAUGCCUGCAUCGCUGCUCUUUGUGGAGCAGGAAGACUAAGCUCUCGCCAGCUAAGCUGACCUGGAUUUCCGGUUGCUGGAGCAGAGAGCUGUGCUUGCCCGGGAUCUGGACGGACUUGAGACGAUUCAGCGGAGACGAGACGCCAAAAAAACAAAGGCGAGUCUGGGAAGAAUCUGGCUGUGAAUGUGCAUAUAAAUAGACGAGCAAUGUCACAGAAAUAUCCCCGGGCACAGUCUGCAGUCUUUGUGUGUUACUGUAGAAACGAUGAUGAGUGCAGAAGAUAACCACGGUGGUGACAACGGUGCAGUUUGUUGUUUUUCACCUGAUGUUGAAACUCAAGCUGCGUUCCAUUUGUAGUCGGAACUCGGUAUUUCUGAGGUCACAGAAACUCAGCUUUCCUGUAGCUGUCCUUAAACUUUGGAACGAGUGACCCAUGGAAAUUAAAUCUGCCUCCACUAUUGAACAUUUUAAAUCUGCUUUUAAAGACCCACCUCUUCUACUUGGCCUUCACUUCAGGAUAAAAAUAGUCCACCGGGACACUUCUAUGUCGUUUUUACCACUUCACUAUUCUUUUAUGAAUAGUAAAGUGGUCGAACACAAGAAUCAAAGCCAACAAUGUCCAACUGUAGAUCGAAGUU